rnacentral:rRNA from 1 species
AUUGAACGCUGGCGGCAGGCCUAACACAUGCAAGUCGAACGAGUGGCGGACGGGUGAGUAAUGUCUGGGAAACUGCCUGAUGGAGGGGGAUAACUACUGGAAACGGUAGCUAAUACCGCAUACCAUCGGAUGUGCCCAUAUGGGAUUAGCUUGUUGGUUGGGUAAAGGCUCACCAAGGCGACGAUCCCUAGCUGGUCUGAGAGGAUGACCAGCCAACAUGGAACUGAGACACGGUCCAGACUCCUACGGGAGGCAGCAGUGGGGAAUAUUGCACAAUGGGCGCAAGCCUGAUGCAGCCAUGCCGCGUGUAUGAAGAAGGCCUUCGGGUUGUAAAGUACUUUCAGCGGGGAGGCGUUACCCGCAGAAGAAGCACCGGCUAACUCCGUGCCAGCAGCCGCGGUAAUAC